rnacentral:rRNA from 1 species
UUGCAGUUAAAAAGCUCGUAGUUGAAUUUCUGGUCUCGGACAUCGGUCUGCCUCGAACGAGGUACGUACCAGUUGUCUGAAUCCAUCCUCGGGGAAAACAUGUCUGGCAUUCAGUUGUUGGGCAUGGGAUCCUCGUCAUUUACUGUGAGCAAAAUAGAGUGUUCAAAGCAGGCUUAUGCCGUUGAAUACAUUAGCAUGGAAUAAUAAGAUAGGACCUCGGUUCUAUUUUGUUGGUUUCUAGAGCUGAGGUAAUGAUUAAUAGGGAUAGU